rnacentral:tRNA from 1 species
GGGAAUGUGGCUUAGUGGUAGAGUGCUUGCCUAGCAUGCAUGAAGCCCUGGGUUCCACUCUUCAAUACCA